rnacentral:rRNA from 1 species
CUGGCGAAUGGUUGUCCAGGUGAAAGUAUGUAGGUAGGAAUGCUAGGCAAAUCCGGUGUUCUGUUGAUCUGAGAUACG